AUUGAACGCUAGCGGCAGGCUUAACACAUGCAAGUCGAGCGAGCGGCGGACGGGUGAGUAAUGUCUGGGAAACUGCCUGAUGGAGGGGGAUAACUACUGGAAACGGUAGCUAAUACCGCAUACCAUCGGAUGUGCCCAGAUGGGAUUAGCUAGUGGGUGGGGUAAAGGCUCACCAAGGCGACGAUCCCUAGCUGGUCUGAGAGGAUGACCAGCCACAAUGGAACUGAGCCACGGCCCAGACUCCUACGGGAGGCAGCAGUGGGGAAUAUUGCACAAUGGGCGCAAGCCUGAUGCAGCCAUGCCGCGUGUAUGAAGAAGGCCUUCGGGUUGUAAAGUACUUUCAGCGGGGAGGCGUUACCCGCAGAAGAAGCACCGGCUAACUCCGUGCCAGCAGCCGCGGUAAUAC
rnacentral:rRNA from 1 species